CGCAUGCGCAAUGCCAGCCAGUGCCUGCGCGGCUUGCUCCAGCAAGGUAAAAUUUCCCACUGCGAGGCAGGCAGUGAUGCUGCGGCCGCUUCGCACUGUGGCUCCUGCCGACCGCCAGGCGCUGUUACAGUGGAUGCGAACUAACCGUAAGUCAUUAUAUCGUACUGCAGAAACCAGCUCAACUAUGCAAAACUACCACCAGGACUGGCCGACACCAGGAGGGAUUCCAGAGACCACACUGCAGGGAGCAUACAGAAAGAAAAUUAAGAGAUCAGAUGCAGCAGCAGCCGGAACCCACAGUUCACCUUGGUGCAUUCCUUUAUGAUGAAGACUUAUUGAUUCAUUAUAUGAGAAAGGAAAAAUGAGCAGAAACUACUGUAUGAUGUGCAGCUCACACCAGACAGCAACUUUAGGGUUAUCUUUCCAGUUCAGCAGUGCAACUCUAUGGAGUAGAAUUGAAAGGAGACUUUUCGCCAAUUGCAGGAAAUGGUCAUAAAAAAAUACCUGCUCACUGACAGAAUAAAGGUGCUUCAUGCAGACAUCUGUACACCAGAUUUACUUCUGCAAAAUGCUGAUGCUAUGAAUAAUGCUUUUGAAUAUUAAUAAGGCAAAACAGACCAGAAAAAAAAAAUUGUAUUUGAAGCUUCUUUGCAAAGAAAUGAGUGAAUGCAACUUCCUUAAAACCUACCUGCAUUCUGACAACAUGGGACCCACAAUUUAUGGGAUAAAAUGAAGCUUGAAAAUUACUUUAGGUUGAUGUUGAGAAGUUGGAACCCUCCUACAUUGCUGCACAUGUGCCUCACUCUUCAUGGUAAAUGUUUUACUGAAGAAUAACAUACAGAAAAGUGGACAAGUCUUAACUGCACAGCUCAAUGAAUUUCCAUGAAGUAAAUAUACCCAUAUGAUAAUCCAGCUCAAGAAACAGAAAAUCACUACCACCCCAGAAGACUGCCUUAUACUACCAUCUUUUAAGAGUGAAUCACACAUGGGAUAAGAUUAGCAUAUUCGUAGUCUGGAAAAUGCUAUACAAAGAAUGUAAAGCAUGAAACUACUUGUGGACCAAAUGAAAAACUGUGGAGCAGAUUAUGAUGCAGUUAGACCUUGCUUGAAUGACUUUGACCCACAAAAGCAGAGUAAUUUAUCCCUACUUACAGAGAGAUUGCCCUACGUGUAACAGCUGCAUACAAAAAAGUUAUAAAAUUAUCAUUGGUUUAACAAGGAUAAGUGAAAAACAUUAAAAUUCUCCAACUGAACAAGGUGUGUCUGUUUCAUUGAUUGGCUGACUGUCAAAUCGGAAUCUGAUCUGCCCCAUUGACAAUGCCUUGGGCUUUUCCUCGGCCAUGGCAAAUGCCAGAGUCUUCUCAGCUGCCGCUUCACAAAAGAGGUACCAGCUUCUCACUGAACGAACACAGUGCAGCACCAGGAGUGACAGAAGAAGGAGGCGGCAGCGGUGGUUGAGGGACAGGGUGCGUGCACGUCCAAGUACAGUUCUUAAAAUGUUGAGGGCAUACAACAUAUGCUCAAUAAAUACCUGAUUUUUAAAAAAGACAAUGACUAUGGAAAACUCUUGAUCAUUAACCCGAAGGGAGAGUCUAGUUUCCAGGAAGCAUUUGUUUGUAUACACUAUUUAACCCAAGGAUACACUCUUUUCUCCGUGGCAGCGUGACUCAUCUUAGUCUCCAAUUUUUGACCUGGUAAGGCAUCUUUUUUGGUCUCUUAAUUUCUGGCUCACUUGGCCCUGAUUUGAUGUGAAUGUUCUUACUGACAUCCCAGUGACUGAUUCUCAGCACACCACAACCCCUUUUGGUUCCUACCCUAUCUUCUCUGUGUUGGCAACUGGACUCGCCUAUUCUUCAGGACUUUCAGGAGUGCACACUCUGGUAGCUCUCUAUUGACUUUACUGCUCACUCAUUCUUUUUCUUUUUUUUUGGAGACGGAGUCUCGCUCUGUUGCCCAGGCUGGAGUGCAGUGGCGCGA
rnacentral:lncRNA from 1 species